rnacentral:rRNA from 1 species
CAUAAUGGAUUGAAACAGGUACUUAAUACCUGAAUACAUAGGGUUUUAAGAGCAAACCCGGGGAACUGAAACAUCUAAGUACCCGGAGGAAAGGACAUCAAUAGAGACUCUGUUAGUAGCGGCGAGCGAACGCGGACCAGCCGAGGUCUGAGAGUGACCAAAACAAUUUGGAAUGAUUGACCAUAGUGGGUGAUAGUCCCGUAUGGGAAGCUCGAUGACACGUAUUAAGUAGGGCGGGACACGUGAAAUCCUGUCUGAAGAUCGGAGGACCACCUCCGAAGGCUAAGUACUCCUUACUGACCGAUAGUGAACCAGUACCGUGAGGGAAAGGUGAAAAGCACCCCGACGAGGGGAGUGAAACAGUACCUGAAACCGAACGCCUACAAUCAGUUGGAGGGGCCUUGAGCCCUGACAGCGUACCUUUUGUAUAAUGGGUCAUCGACUUGGUCUAUCUAGCAAGCUUAAGCCGUUAGGUGUAGGCGCAGCGAAAGCGAGUCUUAAUAGGGCGAAUGAGUUAGAUGGAUCAGACCCGAAACCGAGUGAUCUAGGCAUGGCCAGGCUGAAGAUAAGGUAACACUUAUUGGAGGGCCGAACCCACAUCCGUUGAAAAGGAUCGGGAUGAGCUGUGCCUAGGGGUGAAAGGCCAAUCAAACUCGGAGAUAGCUGGUUCUCCGCGAAAUCUAUUUAGGUAGAGCGUCAUCCGAAUACCCCGGGGGGUAGAGCACUGGAUGGGUAAUGGGGCCCCACAGGCUUACUGAUCCUAACCAAACUCCGAAUACCCGGGAGUACUAGAUGGCAGACACACUGCGG